UGCCAGCAGCCGCGGUAAUUCCAGCUCCAAUAGCGUAUAUUAAAGUUGUUGCGGUUAAAAAGCUCGUAGUUGGAUCUCGGCAAGUAGAGGGCGGUAUGCUUCGUAGCAUUACUGCCCUAUUACUUGUAGUUUUGCCAGAGGUUCCUGGGUGCUCUUAAUCGAGUGUCUAGGGAUGCUGGCAGGUUUACUUUGAAAAAAUUAGAGUGCUCAAAGCAGGCUAUUACGCUUGAAUAUUCGUGCAUGGAAUAAUAGAAUAGGAAGUUGUUUCUAUUUUGUUGGUUUUCGGAAAUCGACUUAAUGAUUAAUAGGGACAGUCGGGGGCAUUUGUAUUCAAACGACAGAGGUGAAAUUCUUGGACCGUUUGAAGACAAACUACUGCGAAAGCAUUUGCCAAGAAUGUUUUCAUUAAUCAAGAACGAAAGUUAGAGGUUCGAAGGCGAUUAGAUACCGCCCUAGUUCUAACCAUAAACGAUGCCAGCUAGCGAUCUGAGGACGUUUUUUUUGUAGACUCCUCAGGAAGCUUCCGGGAAACCAAAGCGUGUGGGUUCCGGGGGAAGUAUGGUUGCAAAGCUGAAACUUAAAGGAAUUGACGGAAGGGCACCACCAGGAGUGGAGCCUGCGGCUUAAUUUGACUCAACACGGGAAAUCUCACCAGGCCCGGACACUGGAAGGAUUGACAGAUUGAGAGCUCUUUCUCGAUUCGGUGGGUGGUGGUGCAUGGCCGUUCUUAGUUGGUGGAGUGAUUUGUCUGGUUAAUUCCGAUAACGAACGAGACUCUGUCCUGCUAAAUAGUGUCAGCCUCUCUUCUGGGCUGACAAUUCUUCUUAGAGGGACUGGCGGCUCCUAGCCGCACGAGAUAGAGCAAUAACAGGUCUGUGAUGCC
rnacentral:rRNA from 1 species